rnacentral:rRNA from 1 species
GAUGAACGCUGGCGGCGUGCUUAACACAUGCAAGUCGAACGGUGAAGCAGAGCUUGCUCUGUGGAUCAGUGGCGAACGGGUGAGUAACACGUGAGCAACCUGCCCCUGACUCUGGGAUAAGCGCUGGAAACGGCGUCUAAUACUGGAUAUGAGCUGCGACCGCAUGGCCAGCAGUUGGAAAGAUUUUUCGGUCUGGGAUGGGCUCACGGCCUAUCAGCUUGUUGGUGAGGUAAUGGCUCACCAAGGCGUCGACGGGUAGCCGGCCUGAGAGGGUGACCGGCCACACUGGGCCUGAGACACGGCCCAGACUCCUACGGGAGGCAGCAGUGGGGAAUAUUGCACAAUGGGCGAAAGCCUGAUGCAGCAACGCCGCGUGAGGGAUGACGGCCUUCGGGUUGUAAACCUCUUUUAGCAGGGAAGAAGCGAAAGUGACGGUACCUGCAGAAAAAGCGCCGGCUAACUACGUG